rnacentral:rRNA from 1 species
UGAAGUAGGUCCCAAGGGUAUGGCUGUUCGCCAUUUAAAGUGGUACGCGAGCUGGGUUUAGAACGUCGUGAGACAGUUCGGUCCCUAUCUGCCGUGGGCGCUGGAGAAUUGAGGGGGGCUGCUCCUAGUACGAGAGGACCGGAGUGGACGCAUCACUGGUGUUCGGGUUGUCAUGCCAAUGGCACUGCCCGGUAGCUAAAUGCGGAAGAGAUAAGUGCUGAAAGCAUCUAAGCACGAAACUUGCCCCGAGAUGAGUUCUCCCUGAGACUAUAAGUCUCCUGAAGGAACGUUAAAGACGAUGACGUUGAUAGGCCGGGUGUGUAAGCGCAGCGAUGCGUUGAGCUAACCGGUACUAAUGAACCGUGAGGCUUAACCUUACAACGCCGAAG